rnacentral:rRNA from 1 species
AUGUACCUAAGUGUUGGUCUAUACUUUAAUGCACUUGUGUUCACGCAUGGCCAGCUUUAUGUAGCAGUGUCGCGUGUGACCUCAAAAAAGGCUUUGAAAAUCCUGAUUGAAAAUGAAGAUGGCUCGGAUGCAAGGUGCGAGUCAACAAUGCCAGUAGUGAGUCGAGAGAAGUGGAGAAGAGGGUCCCUCCAGGCUCCAUACAUGAAUGGUGGUGGCAUGUGGCAAUGUCGGGGAAAGCAAGGAAGAUGUUGUUGUACAUCGUCGAACAUAUAA